rnacentral:ncRNA from 1 species
AUAAAUCCAAUGAUUUGGAGAGUAGUUUUUCAGAUGGCUUCAGCGAGUCGAUGUAGGUGUGAGAUCGAUAGUCUAUGGAUAAUGAAGAGGACCAAGGAGGAGACUGUGCGAACCCCGGGAUAGUAGUGCAGUACGUAUACAUGCGUUAAAUGUUUUGAGUGGACGAAGAAUGAUUUGUAUUUUUCGUCAAUUAGAGUGGUAACGCGGUGCUCCGUCUCUUGU